rnacentral:rRNA from 1 species
UACGAAGGGGGCUAGCGUUGUUCGGAAUUACUGGGCGUAAAGGGCGCGUAGGCGGUCCUGAUCGUCGGAUGUGAAAGGCCUGGGCUCAACCUGGGAAUGGCAUCCGAUACGGCGGGACUGGAGUGUGGGAGAGGUUGGUGGAAUUCCCAGUGUAGCGGUGAAAUGCGUAGAUAUUGGGAGGAACACCAGUGGCGAAGGCGGCUCACUGGACCGGAACUGACGCUGAGGCGCGAAAGCGUGGGGAGCAAACAGG